AUUGAACGCUGGCGGCAGGCCUAACACAUGCAAGUCGAGCGCGAAAACACUUCGGUGUGAGUAGAGCGGCGGACGGGUGAGUAAUGCUUGGGAAUCUGCUCAAUAGUGGGGGAUAACGUGUGGAAACGCACGCUAAUACCGCAUACGUCCUACGGGAGAAAGCAGGGGAUCUUCGGACCUUGCGCUAUUGGAUGAGCCCAAGUCAGAUUAGCUAGUUGGUGGGGUAAUGGCUCACCAAGGCGACGAUCUGUAGCUGGUCUGAGAGGAUGAUCAGCCACACUGGGACUGAGACACGGCCCAGACUCCUUCGGGAGGCAGCAGUGGGGAAUAUUGCACAAUGGGCGAAAGCCUGAUGCAUCCAUGCCGCGUGUGUGAAGAAGGCUCUAGGGUUGUAAAGCACUUUCAGUGGGGAGGAAAAGCUCAAAAUUAAUACUUUUGAGCCUUGACGUUACUUGCAGAAGAAGCACCGGCAAACUCCGUGCCAGCAGCCGCGGUAAUACGGAGGGUGCGAGCGUUAAUCGGAAUUACUGGGUGUAAAGCGCGCGUAGGUGGUUUGAUAAGUUAGCUGUGAAAGCCCUGGGCUCAACCUGGGAACUGCAGUUAGAACUGUCUGUCUAGAGUAUAGUAGAGGGUGGUGGAAUUUCCAGUGUAGCGGUGAAAU
rnacentral:rRNA from 1 species